UACAGAGGGGGCGAGCGUUGUUCGGAAUUACUGGGCGUAAAGGGCGCGUAGGCGGCCUGUUAAGUCGAACGUGAAAUCCCCGGGCUCAACCCGGGAACUGCGUCCGAUACUGGCAGGCUUGAAUCCGGGAGAGGGAUGCGGAAUUCCAGGUGUAGCGGUGAAAUGCGUAGAUAUCUGGAGGAACACCGGUGGCGAAGGCGGCAUCCUGGACCGGCAUUGACGCUGAGGCGCGAAAGCCAGGGGAGCAAACAGG
rnacentral:rRNA from 1 species